CUUUGCACGACUCUUUUCAACUAUAUGCCAUGGUUUGAGCCAUCACAAUUGUGAAAAAUGGUACCCUGUGUGGACAGAUCUUUGAGGCUUUAGUUCUGUAACUAGCCUCGAGGGAUGCGGUGACUAGCCGCUGUCAGAGAAGCCAGGAUUAGGCCGUCUGCUAGAGGCCUGCGGAUGACAGCAGUGCCCAUCUCUUCACCCUUGGCAUCGCUGGAGGACCACCAUAGAGAAGCAGGAGAAGACGUCCCUGCUCGACUAAUGUGGCAGCAAAUAAGGUUCACAUUAAAACUGAGCCGCAUCCUGGGAAAACCUGAAGUGCAGCAGGGUCAACGGAAGGUCUCUUGCCCUUAUAGAGCUGGGAUGAGCUCUGAUAAAUGGAAAACGGGGAAGACUAUGGAUAACCAAAAGUAGGAAGCUUUGUCAUGUACUCUAAUGUCACUAACACGCGACAUGGCUUGUAAAUUCAUAUAUGUUGUCUAUAACAGUGUAUGUUAGUUAGAGGAAUGUGCGGUUGUUCAGGAAUAGUGGAAUUACUAUAGGUUGUCCCUAACUUCAAGUAAUAGUUCAUCCCAAAAUAGAAAAUCUGUUGUAACUUAAUGACUUACUUUCGUCCAGUGAACACAACAGGAGAACAUCUAAACAUUCUUAAAUCAAUUUUUAAAU